AUUGAACGCUGGCGGCAUGCCUUACACAUGCAAGUCGAACGGCAGCACGGGGCAACCUGGUGGCGAGUGGCGAACGGGUGAGUAAUGCAUCGGAACGUACCUUUCAGUGGGGGAUAACGUAGCGAAAGUUACGCUAAUACCGCAAAUUCUGUGCGCAGGAAAGCAGGGGAUCGCAAGACCUUGCGCUGAUUGAGCGGCCGAUAUCAGAUUAGCUAGUUGGUGAGGUAAAGGCUCACCAAGGCGACGAUCUGUAGCGGGUCUGAGAGGAUGAUCCGCCACACUGGAACUGAGACACGGUCCAGACUCCUACGGGAGGCAGCAGUGGGGAACUUUGGACAAUGGGCGCAAGCCUGAUCCAGCCAUGCCGCGUGAGUGAAGAAGGCCUUCGGGUUGUAAAGCUCUUUCGGCCGGGAAGAAAUCGUAUGGGUUAAUACCCUGUGCGGAUGACGGUACCGGCAUAAGAAGCACCGGCUAACUACGUGCCAGCAGCCGCAGUAACAC
rnacentral:rRNA from 1 species